AAGCGUACAGGGUGGAUGCCUUGGCAGUCAGAGGCGAAGAAGGACGUGGAAAUCUGCGAUAAGCCUCGGUUAGCUGAUAAACAAGCAAUAAUCCGAGGAUUUCCGAAUGGGGGAACCCACUUGCAUAAGCAAGUAUUCUAAGACUGAAUACAU
rnacentral:rRNA from 1 species